AUCAGCCAUCUUCCUCCCUCUUCUUUGCCUCACAGACAUUUCGUGUUCUUUGUUUCAAGAAUUGCGGAUUCACUGGGGGCUGGAUUCAGUCUGGGGGCAUUAGGUUUUGCGGCCUCUCGAUGCAGAAGAAGCAUGAUCUGGGAUUAGACGUAUGCAUCAACUAGGCUCAGGCCUCAUGGCGCUCCAUGCUUCCGUGAGAAGCUGAUGUAGCUGAGGCACCAAUUCUAGUCGAUCUGCCGGCCUCGCCACAACGAGUUGGGUCUGACAGGAGAAGUUUGUGGCAAACAUGAGGCUGCUCCGCAGCUGUAGAGCCGUACACAUGAGACUAUAUGAGAGAUGUUCGAGCUCUGGCGUGCCACUGCAAUGACCGUUUAUUGAUAGGAAUCCCUCUAAAGACCAUAUGCUGAUCUUCUUUGACAAACUGCAGUCUCACGCUGCCAUCCAAGACGGCUGCAUCGCUUCUUCCCUAUGCUGUCCAAGAGGUGCGAGGAGGAUCGAGCAGGAAGACCCACUGAAAUUGACAACGAGCAGCAUUGUGCCCCGAUCAAAUUAUCGACUCUAAGAAC